rnacentral:rRNA from 1 species
GACAGAGGCCUCAAGCGUUAGGCGGAAUCACUGGGCUUAAAGCGUGUGUAGGCGGAUCGUUAAGUGUCUUGUGAAAUCCCACGGCUCACCCGUGGAACUGCUGGGCAUACUGGCGAUCUUGGGCCAACUAGGGGCAACUGGAACAAGCGGUGGAGCGGUGAAAUGCGUAGAUAUCGCUUGGAACGCCGAAGGUGAAAACAGGUUGCUGGGGUUGUGCCGACGCUGAGACACGAAAGCCCAGGGGAGCAAACGGG